GGACCGGGCAUUUUCUUCAGCUCAUCAUUUCAAUUGCUGGUGGCCUUGCAUUUCAUUUGGGGGCCUGCAAUUUAAUACUGUUUCCAGGAUUUGGGCCCAGAUCAAACUGGUGUUCUGGGAGCAGGUCUGGCCUCACGCAGACUGUAGCUUUGACUUCUCAGAGCGCAGGGCCCAUGAGGAAACCCCGGCCAUCCCUGCCUCCAGGAGACUCUGCCCAGCCCCUUACCGAGGGUCCUCCCCAGGGGCGAUUUCUGGGCUCUGUCUACUCUAGGCCCAGCCAUAUAGCCAUUCCUUUUCCAUCUGAUGAGUGGAUUUAUAAGGCAACAAAUCACAAUAAUUCAACAGCACACUGUUACCACUCACCUUUUCUUUGAAUUCUUAUAAUGUCUCACGAGUCCAAUUUCUCCAGCAUUCUCCCUUUUUCCUGUAUUUGCCAACCCUGGCCCAUACGGGCUCCCCCUCCAAGCCCAAAUACAACAGAGUGACAAGACAACUUUGGAAACCACUUUCUUUAUGAGAAUCUUGAGUUCCUAAUGAGUCUGGCCUGGGGUGGGCUAGACCAGUGCAAAUAUUCCAGGAGUGCGGACAGGAGAGGCCAAGGGCAGUGUGGGAGAUGGGGGACACCAAGGGUGGGGGAAUGAGGUGUCCUAAUGAUUCCUAGACCUACAGUCCCUGAGGAACCAUGUGACUGUCACACUGACCUUUUGGACCUGUUGGGAUGAAUAUUAAAAGGUGGCUGCUUGUUCUCUGUCUAAUCAGGGUUGGUGAGUGGGAGUUUGGCCAGCACCAGUUGGGCUGUGAGGGAUGCUUUGACAUCAGCCCAACUCUGCCUAGAAACACAGGGUGACAACUGGAAACAACUCCACUCUGGCUUGGGGAGUGACUCAGAGAAGGCCCUGAGUGCCCCUUGCUUUCCUCCCAAGGAGGCUCUUCUCCCACCUGCCUCAAAGCUACAGCAAGAGUGUGGGCUUUGGGGAAGUCAGGUUUCAGGCCCCACACGACUCACCAGCUGUCACUUGGUUUCUCUGAGCCUCAUUUCUCUUCUGUAAAACAAGGGCCCCUUCCCUGUAGGAUUGUUGUGAGGAAUAAAGACAGCGCAUCUGAAGGAAUUGGCACAGAGGAGACCCUUAGUAAACAGCAGCUAAUCUGGGGAUUUGGAGAGGACACAGCCCCCAAACUGUCCAAAGAGCAUUCCUUAUUUCAAGGCCACUAGGGGGAAAUGGUCUUGCCCUUCAUCUGCAGGUAGCCUUCAGCAGAACACGCCAUCCGGGGGGCUGUCUGUGUCUUGUUUCCUUUUAAAUUUUCAAUAACUUGAUGCCAGCUGUUCCAGUAUUACAUACCUCACUGGCAGGAAGCUGCCUUCCUCCCACUACAGUGCCAACUGUGAAAAGCAGGGAGCCUGUGCAUGCCUUCUUUUCAGACAAAAAUAGUUACCAGAUCACCUGUGGCCUUCCCAUCUCUGAUGGAGAUAAUCCCAACUCAGUUCCUCCCUUCACCCCUCCCAAACCCACUUUGCUCUGGGUUUCAAUCCAGUUUUUUCCACCUCCCUCUUCAGAUCUGGAGCCUCCUCCAGUCCUUGCCCAGCACUGAGCUGGGUACCCAGUUCUCUCCAGAGACAGCCCCACCAUGGAAAGGAGGCAAGGCCUUCCCUGACAUCACCAAGCCUUCAUCCCCCACUGUCAACACUACUGCCUGGGCAGGUGCGAGAGAAGGAGAGCAGCCAAAACCUGAUGCAGCUGGCGCAGCCUCCAGAGGGCAAGGGUGAAGGAGCAUGGAGACGAGGACGGUCUCACUUGGAGCUGGGAGCCGAGUGAUCUGCGUGGAGGAAGGUGGCGGUGGUGUAGUUCUGGAACAGAGGCUGCAGGAACAUGCCAAUGGUGCCAAAGACACAGACAAAGACAAAGAUCCAGAGGAACAGGCGGUCGAUCACCAUGGCGACGUACUUCCAGUCCUCACUCACCUGGGGACGAAGGAGGCCCAGGUGUCAGUCACAUGAUGCAGGAUGGGCUUUGAACGGGUACAAGCGGUUCCCACCACACAUACACACACCCUAGUCCUCUCCCUCAGUGGAACGCUUUAGAGUGACUUUCUAAAGCAUGGCUCUGAUCUCAGCAGCCUGUAAGCCUCCGGUGGCCACACUGCCUUCAGGGCCCACCCAAACUCCCAAGUUUGGACUCCAGACCCAGCCAUGACAAAUAUGAGCCUAUCUUCUCCCGCCCUACAACUCAGACUUACCAAACCCUAAUGUGUCCUCUCAGGUGUCUGUGCUUUUGGAUUUCCUUUGUGGCUGGGAAUUCUGAUCUCCCUUUCUCUACCUUUCUCCUACACAUCCUUCAAAGCCCAAAUCAAACAUCACCUUCUCUAUGAGGGAUUCCCUGACCCCCAGAUCAGAAUGAAGCACUGUCCCCCCUGGGUUCCCUCAGCACUGUUUACGCAUCUCCAUCACAGUAUUUUUACUGUACUGUAUUGUUUCAACUUGCGUGUCUGUCCCCCUACUAAGCUACAAGCUCCUAAACCACAGGGAUCCUGUCUGAUUCAUCUCUGUAAUCCCAGCAUCUGGAACAGGGUGCCCCGUAACUGGGUGCUGAGUUAAGGAGUGAAUGGCUGCCUCAGCAGGCCUUGCUCGUUUUACAACUGCACAGGAAGCCCCAUCCAACAGCAUCACCUCAAGCACAGAGGCCCCAGAGGUUGAGAACUGGGUUCCAGAUGUGAACAAAUCAGUCAAAAAGAUAAUACUGGCCGGGUUCAGUGGCUCACGCCUAUAAUCCCAGCACUUUGGGAGGCCAAGGUGGGAGGACUGCUUGAUCCCAGAAGU